GACGAACGCUGGCGGCGUGCUUAACACAUGCAAGUCGAACGGAAAGGCCCUGCUUUUGUGGGGUGCUCGAGUGGCGAACGGGUGAGUAACACGUGAGUAACCUGCCCUUGACUUUGGGAUAACUUCAGGAAACUGGGGCUAAUACCGGAUAGGAGCUCCUGCUGCAUGGUGGGGGUUGGAAAGUUUCGGCGGUUGGGGAUGGACUCGCGGCUUAUCAGCUUGUUGGUGGGGUAGUGGCUUACCAAGGCUUUGACGGGUAGCCGGCCUGAGAGGGUGACCGGCCACAUUGGGACUGAGAUACGGCCCAGACUCCUACGGGAGGCAGCAGUGGGGAAUAUUGCACAAUGGGCGGAAGUCUGAUGCAGCAACGCCGCGUGCGGGAUGACGGCCUUCGGGUUGUAAACCGCUUUCGCCUGUGACGAAGCGUGAGUGACGGUAAUGGGUAAAGAAGCACCGGCUAACUACGUG
rnacentral:rRNA from 1 species